AGAACGAACGCUGGCGGCAGGCCUCAAACAUGCAAGUCUAGGGGGUGUAGCAAUACAUCACCGGCGGACGGGUGCGUAACACGUGGGAAUAUACCUUUUGGUUCGGAACAACGCAGGGAAACUUGCGCUAAUACCGAAUGUGCCCUUACGGGGAAAGAUUUAUCGCCAAAGGAUUAGCCCGCGUAGGAUUAGCUAGUUGGUGAGGUAAUGGCUCACCAAGGCUCCGAUCCUUAGCUGUUCUGAGAGGAAGAUCAGCCACACUGGGACUGAGACACGGCCCAGACUCCUACGGGAGGCAGCAGUUGGGAAUCUUGGACAAUGGGGGAAACCCUGAUCCAGCCAUGCCGCGUGAGUGAUGAAGGCCUUCGGGUUGUUAAAACUCUUUCGACGGGGACGAUAAUGACGGUACCCGUAGAAGAAGCUCCGGCUAACUUCGUGCCAGCAGCCGC
rnacentral:rRNA from 1 species